AUUCACCAAGUUUCACGCAUCUGCUGGCCUCCCCCUGUGAUUUCCUCUAAGCCCCAGCCUCAGUUUCUCUUUCUGCCCACAUACUGGCCACACAAUUCUCAGCCCCCUCCUCUCCAUCUGUGUCUGUGUGUAUCUUUCUCUCUGCCCUUUUUUUUUUUUUUAGACGGAGUCUGGCUCUGUCACCCAGGCUAGAGUGCAGUGGCACGAUCUUGGCUCACUGCAACCUCUGCCUCUUGGGUUCAAGCGAUUCUGCUGCCUCAGUAGCUGGGAUUACAGGCUCACACCACCACACCCGGCUAAUUUUUGUAUUUUUAGUAGAGACGAGCUUUCACCAUGUUGGCCAGGCAGGUCUCAAACUCCUGACCAAGUGAUCCACCCGCCGGCCUCCCAAAGUGCUGAGAUUACAGGCCUGAGCCACCAUGCCCGGCCUCUGCCCCUCUUUCUUUUUUAGGGGGCAGGGAAAGGUCUCACCCUGUCACCCGCCAUCACAGCUCACUGCAGCCUCCACCUCCUGGACUCAAGUGAUAAGUGAUCCUCCCGCCUCAGCCUUUCCAGUAGCUGAGACUACAGGCGCAUACCACUAGGAUUAAUUUGGGGGGGGGGGUGGUGUGUGUGGAGAUGGGGUCUGGCUUUGUUGGCCAGGCUGAUGUGGAAUUCCUGGGCUCAAGCGAUACUCCCACCUUGGCCUCCUGAGUAGCUGAGACUACUGGCUAGCACCACCACACCCAGCUUUUUAUUAUUAUUUGUAGAGACAAGGUCUCAAUAUGUUGCCCAGGCUAGUCUCAAACCCCUGGGCUCAAGAGAUCCUCCGCCAUCGGCCUCCCAAAGUGCUGGGAUUCCAGGCAUGGGGCUCCGAGCCCGGCCUGCCCAACUUAAUAAUACUUGUUCCUCAGAGUUGCAACUCCAAAUGACCUGAGAUUGGUGCCUUUAUUCUAAGCUAUUUUCAUUUUUUUUCUGCUGUCAUUAUUCUCCCCCUUCUCUCCUCCAGUCUUAUCUGAUAUCUGCCUCCUUCCCACCCACCCUGCACCCCAUCCCACCCCUCUGUCUCUCCCUGUUCUCCUCAGGAGACUCUGGCUUCCUGUUUUCCUCCACUUCUAUCUUUUAUCUCUCCCUCCUACGGUUUCUUUUCUUUCUCCCCGGCCUGCUUGUUUCUCCCCCAACCCCCUUCAUCUGGAUUUCUUCUUCUGCCAUUCAGUUUGGUUUGAGCUCUCUGCUUCUCCGGUUCCCUCUGAGCUAGCUGUCCCUUCACCCACUGUGAACUGGGUUUCCCUGCCCAACCCUCAUUCUCUUUCUUUCUUUCUUUUUUUUUUUUUUUUUUUUUUUUUUUUUUUGAGACAGAGUCUUGCUCUGUUGCCCAGCCUGGAGUGCAGUGGUGCAAUCUUGGUUCACUGCAACCUCCACUUCCCAGAUUCAAGCAAUUCUCCUGCCUCAGCCUCCAGAGUAGCUGGGAUUACAGGCGUGUCCCACCACACCCGACUAAUUUUUGUAUUUUUGGUAGAGACAAGGCUUCGGCAUUGUUGGCCAGGCAGGUCUCGAACUCCUGACCUCAAGUAAUCUGCCUGCCUCACCCUCCCAAAGUGCUGGGAUUACAGGCAUGAGCCACCUCACCCGGACCAUCCCUCAUUCUCCAUCCUUUCCUCCAGUUGUGAUGUCUACCCCUCAUGUUUCCCAACAAGCCUACUGGGUGCUGAAUCCAGGCUGGGAAGAGAAGGGAGCGGCUCUUCUGUCGGAGUCUGCACCAGGCCCAUGCUGAGACGAGAGCUGGCGCUCAGAGAGGGGAAGCUUGGAUGGAAGCCCAGGAGCCGCCGGCACUCUCUUCUCCUCCCACCCCCUCAGUUCUCAGAGACGGGGAGGAGGGUUCCCACCAACGGGGGACAGGCUGAGACUUGAGCUUGUAUCUCCUGGGCCAGCUGCAACAUCUGCUUGUCCCUCUGCCCAUCUUGGCUCCUGCACACCCUGAACUUGGUGCUUUCCCUGGCACUGCUCUGAUCACCCACGUGGAGGCAGCACCCCUCCCCUGGAGAUGACUCACCAGGGCUGAGUGAGGAGGGGAAGGGUCAGUGUGCUCACAGGCAGGGGGCCUGGUCUGCUGGGCCUGCUGCUGAUUCACCGUAUGUCCAGGAGCUGGAGCAGCACCCUCUCAGAGCCUCAGUUUCCCCAGAUGUCAAUGAGAGAAUCAGCAUCAGCCACAUCUCCCACCUGAAGAAUCGAACCUUGAGUUCUCACCUUUAAGAAUUUUUUUUUUUUUUUGAGACAGUGCCUUGCUCAGUCGACCACGCUGGAGUGCAGUAGCACGAUCAUCAAUCACUGCAGCCUCCAACUCAAGCAACCCUCCUGCCUCAACCUCCUGAGUAGCUGGGGCCACAGGCACCCACCACCAUGCCUGGCUAAUUCUUUCUUUUUUGAGAUGGAGUCUCACUCUGUCGCCCAGGCUGGAGUGCAGUGGCACCAUCUUGGCUCACCGCAACCUCUGCCCCCCGGGUUCAAGCAAUUCUCCUGCCUCAGCCUCCUGAGUAGCUAGAAUUACAGGCGCACACCACCACACCAGGCUAAUUUUUGUAUUUUUAGUAGAAACGAGGUUUCACCACGGUGGUCAGGUUGGUCUCAAACUCCUGACAUCAGGUGAUCCACCCGCCUCGGCCUCCCAAAGCACUGGGAUUACAGGAGUGAGCCACCAUGCCUGGCCAUAUUUUAAACUUUUUUGUAGAGAUGGGGUCUUACUAUGUUGCCCAGGCUGAUCUCAAACUCUUGGGCUCAAGCAGAUCCUCCUGCCAAAGCUUCCCAAAGUAGUUGGAUUACAGGUGUGAGCCACCACGCCCCACCAACCUAUGAAGAUGUCUAAGCAGACAGGGUGCCCUAUCUCACCACAUCCCCAGUCAGAUCCAGAGGUGGGACAAGGAUGGGAAGGAGGUUCCAGAACAAAGGCUGGCAGGGAGUCGUAUGGGACAGGAGCUGACCCAGCAACCAUCCACAGAGACAUCCUGGAGCCUGGGAAGGAGAAGGACAAAGAGCCCCCUUUUUUAAAUUUUUUUUAUGUUUUUGAGACGGAGUCUCACUCUGUCACCCAAGCUGGAGUGCAGUGGCACAAUCUUGGCUCACUGCAACCUCCACCUCAUGGGUUCAAACGACUCUCCUGCCUCAGCCUCCUGAGUAGCUGGGACCACAGGUGCACACCACCAUGCCUGGAUAAUUUUUGAAUUUUUGGUAGAGACGGAGUUUCACCAUGUUGGCCAGGCAGGUCUCGAACUCCUGACCUCAAGUGCUCCGCCCACCUUGGCCUCCCAAAGUUCUGGGAAUACAGGCGUGAGCCACUGCAACCAGCCAGUAGCCCCCAUCUUUGCCCCUCGCUGAGCCCUACUGGAUGUUCUUGGUUAUGCGACAGUUUCCCCAUCUAUUAAAGAGAAACCCCUAUAGCAGAGGGGAGGAUGAGGUUGGAAAAGCAGGAGCAUUGUUAUGCUAUUCUUGUGGGGUCUGGGAAGCAGACAUCUGGGUGGAUGUUUGGGGGGUGCUGGGCUUAGUUGGGGAAGUAGGGGGGCCCCUGGGGCUGACAGGGACUGGAAGCUCUGAGCUGGCCAGAGGGAUGUUGCAAUCCUGCCAGGGUCUUGUCUAUGCUGUCCUUUUCACAACCAUCCCCCUACUGCCAGGCUGACACGUGGUUGCGGGGGCACAAGGCCAGCCAACCUAGAGUCUGAGGCUAGGCGGAGGACACCCUCCCCACCAGCUGCCAGGGUCACUGGCGGUCAAAGGCAGCUGGUGGGGAAGGCAUUGGACUCCAGCCUUGGGGGACGGAUGUAGUGAUGGUGGGAAGCAGGCUUGGUGCCAGGAGGGGCGUCAGAGGGUGAAUAAAAGCAGAUAGAGUGUUUGGGGGAGGUAGCCAGCCAAAGGGGGUGAGGCCCGGUGGAAGGGAAGAAGGGACAUACACGCAGAGCUUUGCAGCUGAGGGUUUUAAUUUUUUGAGAUGGGGUCUCUGUCCCACCAGGCUGGAGUGCAGUGGCACAAUCACAGCUCACUGCAGCCUCGAACUCCUGGGCUCAAGCAAUCUUCCUACCUCAGCCUCUUGAGUAGCUGGGACUACAGGCAUGCGCCACCACGCUCGGCUAAUUUUUGAACUUUUUUGUAGAGAUGAGGUCUCCCUAUAUUGCCCAGGCUGGUCUCGAACUCCCAGGCUCAAGUGAUCCUCCCUCUUCAGCUUCCCAAAGUGCUGGGAUUACAGGCAUGAGCCACCAUGCCUGGCUAAUGCAGGUGAGGUUUUUGCAGUGUCAUCCAGCUAAGGCGACCCGUUCCCCUCCCAAAAAAGGGAGACUGAGAACCAUGAAGUUAAGAGCCCAGAGAAUAUCACGGUGGUCUGGGGUGCUUCAAGGGCUGGUCUGGAAUAAAUUGGAGGUGGCACGCAGGGUAGGAGCGCCGGGCCAACUGGGAGACCCAGCAACAUAAAGGAAAAGUUGUUGGGGCUGAGGAGGCUUGCUGAGAGAGGGGAAGUGAGGGAAAGAGGUGAUCUAGGGACACGGUGUGAAUGAGGGGGGGAUGAGAUCACAGGGUUAUUACUGGGAGACCCCUGAGGGAAGAUGGCCACAGGGACAGGACAAGGCUGUCUUCUUAAGGGAGGAGACCACCCCUCAUAUUGUCUUAUGCCCAAUUUCUGCCUCCAAAGAAAGAAAAAGUAAAAACUAAAAGGCAGAAAUGAAAUCCACAAGCAGACAGCCCGCGCCACACCCUGGGCCUGGUGGUUAAAGAUUGACCCCUGACCUAAUCCGUUAGGUUAUCUAUAGAUUACAGACAUUGUAUAGAAAAGCACUGUGAAAAUCCCUAUUCUGUUUUGUUCCGAUCUAAUUACCGGUGCAUGCAGCCCCCAGUCACGCAUCCCCUGCUUGUUCAAUCGAUCACGACCCUCUCACGUGCACCCACUUAGAGUUGUGAGCCCUUAAAAGGAACAGGGAUUGCUCACUCGGGGAGCUCGGCUCUUGAGACAGGAAUCUUGCCCAUUCCCCGAACGAAUAAACCCCUUCCUUAACUCAGCGUCUGAGGAAUUUUGUCUGCGGCUCCUCCUGCUACAUUCUGAGUGGGGAAAGGGACUAAGGUGGUCUGAGGACCCCACAGAGUCAGGAAGAUUGAGAGGUGAGAGUGCUGAACGGGGAGGGGCUUUGGGGCUAAGGGAAGUGCCCGGGACCCCACCUGACCCCAACGCUCACGGGACAGGGGCAGAGGAGAAAAACGUGGGUGGACAGAGGGAGGCAGGCGGUCAGGGGAAGGCUCAGGAGGAGGGAGAUCAACAUCAACCUGCCCCGCCCCCUCCCCAGCCUGAUAAAGGUCCUGCGGGCAGGACAGGACCUCCCAACCAAGCCCUCCAGCAAGGAUUCAGGUUGGUGCUGAGUGCCUGGGAGGGACACCCGCCUACACUCUGCAAGAAACUCAAAAAGGGAGAUGAGGGGAUCGUGGGAGGGAGGUAGGGAGGGAGGAGGGUGCCACUGAUCCCCUGAACCCCUGCCUCUGCCUCCAGAGUGCCCCUCCGGCCUCGCCAUGAGGCUCUUCCUGUCGCUCCCGGUCCUGGUGGUGGUUCUGUCGAUCGUCUUGGAAGGUAAAAGUGGGAUGGGAGA
rnacentral:lncRNA from 1 species